rnacentral:rRNA from 1 species
AACGAACGCUGGCGGCAUGCCUAACACAUGCAAGUCGAGCGCCCGUAGCAAUACGGGAGCGGCGCACGGGUGAGUAACGCGUGGGAACCUGCCCAGAGGUCUGGGACAACCGCGGGAAACUGCGGCUGAUACCGGAUGAUUCCUGAGGGACAAAGAUUUAUCGCCUUUGGAGGGGCCCGCGUCGGAUUAGGUAGUUGGUGGGGUAACGGCUCACCAAGCCUAUGAUCCGUAACUGGUCUGAGAGGAUGACCAGUCACACUGGGACUGAGACACGGCCCAGACUCCUACGGGAGGCAGCAGUGGGGAGUAUUGGACAAUGGGGGCGAACCCUGAUCAGCAAUGCCGCGUGGGUGAUGAAGG